UACGUAGGGUGCGAGCGUUGUCCGGAAUUAUUGGGCGUAAAGAGCUCGUAGGCGGUUUGUCGCGUCUAUCGUGAAAACUGGAGGCUCAACCUUCAGCUUGCGGUGGAUACGGGCAGACUUGAGUUCGGUAGGGGAGACUGGAAUUCCUGGUGUAGCGGUGAAAUGCGCAGAUAUCAGGAGGAACACCGGUGGCGAAGGCGGGUCUCUGGGCCGAUACUGACGCUGAGGAGCGAAAGCGUGGGGAGCGAACAGG
rnacentral:rRNA from 1 species